GUCUAUGGCCAUACCACCCUGAACUUGCCCAAUCUCGUCUGGUCUCAGAAGCUAAGCAGGGUUUGGCCUGGUUAGCACUCGGAUGGGAGAAUACAAGUUCUCUAAAUG
rnacentral:rRNA from 1 species